CUCCCAGGCAAUGAGCAAAGAGACACCUUGUUGGUGGUAUUGUUCUUAUAUCAGUCAAGAGCAGAGCAGAUGACUGUCCUUUGUUCAUCCUAGCUUGGUCCUGGCUUGGUGACCAAAACUGUCUUAUGCCUAGGACCCAUCA
rfam:Mus musculus chromosome X, GRC primary reference assembly.